rnacentral:tRNA from 1 species
AAAGGGAGACCUAAUUCGGGUAGGAGACGAAAAAAAGUAGUCCCUACCAAGAAUCAAUCCCAAAAGGUCGGAGCGAGGCGAAAUUGGCUUUCAAACUAGGUUCUGGGUUCACACAAGACCUGAAUCAGGAACAAGGGCUAUUAGCUCAGGUGGUUAGAGCGCACCCCUGAUAAGGGUGAGGUCCCUGGUUCGAGUCCAGGAUGGCCCACCUGCACAGGUGGCAAAAACAAAGAAAAAAAGCUCCGAAUCAGCACCUUAUCUUACUUAUAUAGUAAGAGAGAAUGCUGGCUCUGAGUUCAGAGUCCAGAGGAACCUUGAAAACUGCAUAGAGCUAGGUGAAAAAGCCAAAAAAGAAGACCGUCAG